rnacentral:rRNA from 1 species
GUGUCAGCCGCCGCGGUAAUACGUAGGUGGCAAGCGUUGUCCGGAUUUACUGGGCGUAAAGGGAGCGUAGGCGGAUUUUUAAGUGGGAUGUGAAAUCUCCGGGCUUAACCCGGAUGCUGCAUUCCAAACUGGAAGUCUAGAGUACAGGAGGGGAAAGUGGAAUUCCUAGUGUAGCGGUGAAAUGCGUAGAGAUUAGGAAGAACACCGGUGGCGAAGGCGACUUUCUGGACUGUAACUGACGCUGAGGCUCGAAAGCGUGGGGAGCAAACAGGAUUAGAAACCCUCGUAGUCC